rnacentral:rRNA from 1 species
AAGGGCACCACAAGAACGCGUGGAGCAUGUGGCUUAAUUUGACUCAACGCGGGAAAUCUUACCGGGUCCGGACACACUGAGGAUUGACAGGUAUUAUUAAAUUACACAUAAUUUUAUUAUGUUGUAAUUUAUGUUAAAUAUGCUAGUCCUUUCAUGAUUAUGUGAUAGGUGGUGCAUGGCCGUUCUUAGUUCGUGGAGUGAUCUGUCUGCUUAAUUGCGUUUCACUAAGGGCCUAUAUAUAUUACGUGCGUUGCAGGUACUUUGACCCAUCACAUAUGAAAUUUAAUAUGUUUGAGUGCGUGUCUUAGUUUGCUUUUGCUCGCACAAUUAGGUCCUGAAAGCAACGAACGUGACCGCAACCUCUUGUUGCCUUUAUCCCAAAAACUGUGUCGUUGUAUUUUAUUAUACACGCGCGGUAAAAAAAGGCUUUUAAACUAGAGGGACCGCUGUAAUCUUUUUAAACCAGAGGAAGGUUGCGGCAAUAACAGGUCUGUGAUGCCCUUAGAUGUUCCGGGCUGCACACGUGCUACAAUGAUUAUUGCAGUGAGCAUCUCAUUUAUUACACACCGCAUGCGCGUGUCCAUUUAUGCACAUAUUUUAUAUGUCGCAUAGAUGUGUACAUUGUGCGCGGUAAAGCCUGCUUCGAAAGUAAGUGGGUAAUCAAUUAGAAGUAAUGAUUUCCUUUUUUUCGCACACAUAUAUGCGGCAUCUUUACCCGGGCGGAGCUUGUCUCUUCUUUUGUGUGUAUCGAUGUUUUUUCCGCAUGUGCAAUUGUCAAUUCAUGGUGGGGACAGACCAUUGUUAAUUGUUGGUCUCGGUCUUAACUAGGAAUGCCUUGUACGGGUCUUUGGUUCAACAAACCACCCGGAAUACGUCCCUGCCCUUUGUACACACCGCCCGUCGCUCUUACCGAUGGACUUCUCUGUGAGUUUGAGGGACUGGGUACUGCGUAUGAAUUUAUUUAUAUCGCUAUCACCUAUGGAAACUUAAACGAACAGUGUGGUCUAAAGGAAAGAGAAGUCGAACAAGGCA